rnacentral:tRNA from 1 species
UCCCUGAUAGCUCAGUUGGUAAAGAAUCUGCCUGCAAUGCAGGAACUCCAGUUGGAAUUCCGGGUCAGGGAA